rnacentral:tRNA from 1 species
GGCUCCAUAGUGUAGUGGUUAGUAUGUCUGCUUUGCACGCAGAGGUCCAUGGUUCACGCCCCAGGUGGAGCCA